rnacentral:rRNA from 1 species
GACGAACGCUGGCGGCGUGCCUAAUACAUGCAAGUCGAGCGCAGGAAAUCAUCCGAACCCUUCGGGGGGACGUUGAUGGAAUGAGCGGCGGACGGGUGAGUAACACGUAAAGAACCUGCCCUCAGGUCUGGGAUAACCACGAGAAAUCGGGGCUAAUACCGGAUGGGUCAUCGGACCGCAUGGUCCGAGGAUGAAAGGCGCUUCGGCGUCGCCUGGGGAUGGCUUUGCGGUGCAUUAGCUAGUUGGGGGGGUAAUGGCCCACCAAGGCGACGAUGCAUAGCCGACCUGCGAGGGUGAUCGGCCACACUGGGACUGGGACACGGCCCAGACUCCUACGGGAGGCAGCAGUAGGGAAUCUGCCACAAUGGACGAAAGUCUGAUGGAGCAACGCCGCGUGAACGAUGAAGGCCUUCGGGUCGUAAAGUUCUGUUGUAAGGGAAGAACAAGUGCCGCAGGCAAUGGCGGCACCUUGACGGUACCUUGCGAGGAAGCCACGGCUAACUACGUGCCAGCCGCCGCCGUAACAC